CUUCGCCUGCCGGCGACCGGCGCACGGGUGAGUAACACGUAUGCGACCUGCCCCCCGCAGGGGGAUAACCGGGAGAAAUCCCGACUAAUACCGCGUAACGCCGCGGACCUGCAUGGGUCUGCGGCCAAAGGAAGCGAUUCCGGCGGGGGAUGGGCAUGCGGCGCAUUAGCUAGUCGGCGGGGGUAACGGCCCACCGGGGCGACGAUCAGUAGGGGUUCUGAGAGGAAGGUCCCCCACAUUGGAACUGAGACACGGUCCAAACUCCUACGGGAGGCAGCAG
rnacentral:rRNA from 1 species